AAUCAAUAAAUCUUUUCAUCUCCAUCGUUUCCAUCGUUUCAUCUUCAAUUGGGAAUCGAUCAAUCUUUUCAUCUCCAUUUUCUCAAGAUCAAUUUUUCAGAAAAGAGGGUAAAAUCAAGUUCAGUACUUCUUCAAUCCACUGAAUCUUGAAGAGAAAACAAAAAAUCGUAAAAUGAGAGAAGCUCCGAUUAGUCGAAUCAAUUGGGUUUGUCUAUGGAGAUGAUGGUGCUAUCAAUCGGAUGAUUCAGUUUUCACCCAUGGCUUUAGCGACCCGUUUUAUCUUACCAAUUGGAUUGUACAUGUGAAAGCCUAUACAAACUAACCGAAGCAUAUAUAUAAAGACAUCAUAAUAUCCGUAAGAUAAGUAGUUGUUUCUUAAAAUCUUGUUUGAUUGUUUUUUUUUUUUUGGAAUAAUAAAUCCUUACUGAUUAAUUUCUUUUGCAAUUUAGUCCAGGAAAUGAAAUGAGAUGUAGUUUCCAGUAACACAGGUUAUUACAAUAGAGUAUAAUGACAUGAAGCUAUAAACAGACAUUGUUUAACUUUUUUUGGAGGAAAAGUUAUUGAUAAGAGAGGAUAAGUUUUAGCAGAGAAAAAAUUGAAGGGACAUUCUCGGCAGCCAUUGGAGAAGGUUUGAAAGAAAAAAGGAGAAAGUGAAGAAGUUAAGGAUUCAAAAUAAAUCGGAGUUUGAAUUAGGAAUGAAAGACAUAACUAAAAACGCGGUUUGGCUUUUUUUCUGGAGGCCCAAAAUAGCCCAUUGUUACAUGAGGGAAGGUGUUAAUAUAGUUUUCCAUCAAUUCCUAUCCGGAUAUCCAAUUGUUAAUUGUCGGGUAAUUUUUAAUUUUAAACCCGAUUCAAUAGGUUUAAAAGUCACCUUUAACCUUAAUGAUAUGUUUUAAGAGAAAUUUCGACAGGAGCAUUUUCGGGCAAUGAGAAAGUUGUACUUCUCUUUUACUAAUAUAGGGAUAUUUAAACAA